rnacentral:rRNA from 1 species
AUUGAACGCUGGCGGCAGGCUUAACACAUGCAAGUCGAGCGGGGUGAUGGUGCUUGCACUAUCACUUAGCGGCGGACGGGUGAGUAAUGCUUAGGAAUCUGCCUAUUAGUGGGGGACGACAUCUCGAAAGGGAUGCUAAUACCGCAUACGUCCUACGGGAGAAAGCAGGGGAUCACUUGUGACCUUGCGCUAAUAGAUGAGCCUAAGUCGGAUUAGCUAGUUGGUGGGGUAAAGGCCUACCAAGGCGACGAUCUGUAGCGGGUCUGAGAGGAUGAUCCGCCACACUGGGACUGAGACACGGCCCAGACUCCUACGGGAGGCAGCAGUGGGGAAUAUUGGGCAAUGGGGGGAACCCUGAUCCAGCCAUGCCGCGUGUGUGAAGAAGGCCUUAUGGUUGUAAAGCACUUUAAGCGAGGAGGAGGCUCUUUUGGUUAAUACCCAAGAUGAGUGGACGUUACUCGCAGAAUAAGCACCGGCUAACUCUGUGCCAGCCGCCGCUGUAA